GAUGAAGAACGUAGCGAAAUGCGAUACGUAAUGUGAAUUGCAGAUUUCAGUGAAUCAUCGAAUCUUUGAACGCACAUUGCGCCCGCUAGUAUUCUGGCGGGCAUGCCUGUUCGAGCGUCAUUUCAACCAUCAAGCCCCCGGCUUGCGUUGGAGCCCUGCGGCUGCCGCAGGCUCCCAAAUCCAGUGGCGGGCUCGUCGUCGUACCGAGUGCAGUAAACAUCCUCGCUCAGGGAACGCGGCGGGAUCUUGCCGUGAAACCCCCCCCACAUCAAGGUUGACCUCGGAUCAGGUAGGAAUACCCGCUGAACUUAAGCAUACCAAUAAGCGGAGGA
rnacentral:misc_RNA from 1 species